UCCAAGUCCAAAAUGGCAACUGUCAAGGAUCAGCUGAUUCUUAAUGUUCUAAAGGAAGAACAGACCCCCCCCCCCCAGAAUAAGAUUACAGUUGUUGGGGUUGGUGCUGUUGGCAUGGCCUGCACCAUCAGUAUCUUAAUGAAGGACCUGGCAGAUGAGCUUGCUCUUGUUGAUGUCAUUGAAGACAAAUUGAAGGGAGAGAUGAUGGAUCUCCAAAAUGGCAGCCUUUUCCUUAGAACACCAAAGAUCAUCUCUAGCAAAGACUAUAAUGCGACUGCAAACUCCAAGCUGGUUAUUAUCACAGCGGGGGCACAUCAGCAGGAAGGAGAAAGCCGUCUUAAUUUGGUUCAGCGAAACGUUAAUAUCUUUAAGUUCAUCAUUCCCAAUGUUGUAAAAUACACUCCAAACUGCAAGUUGCUUGUGUUUCAAAUUCAGUGGAUAUCUUGACCUAUGUGGCUUAGAAGAUAAGUGGCUUUCCCAAAAACCGUGUCAUUGGAAGUGGUUGUUGUCUAGAUUCAGCCCGGUUCCAUUACCUGACGGGGAAGAGGAUGGGAGUUCACCCAUUAAGCUGCCACGGAUGGGUCCUUGGGGAGCAUGGAGACUCUAGUGUGCCUGUGUGGAGUAAAUGUUGCUGGUGUCUCCCUAAAGAAUCUACACCCAGAUUUAGGCACUGAGACAGAUAAGGAGCAAUGGAAAGAGGUUCACAAGCAGGUGGUUGAGAGUGCUUAUGAAGUGAUCAAACUGAAAGGCUACACCUUCUGGGCCAUUGGACUCUCUGUGGCAGAUUUGGCAGAAAGCAUGAUGAGGAAUCUCAGGCGUGUGCAUCCAGUUUCCACCACGAUCAAGGGUCUCUAUGGAAUAAAAGAUGAUGUCUUCUUUCGUGUUCCUUGCAUCCUAGAACAGAAUGGAAUUUCAGACCUUAUGAAGGUGACUCUAACUCCUGAGGAAGAGGCCCGUUUGAAAAAGAGUGCAGAUACACUUUGGGGGAUCCAAAAAGAGCUGCAAUUUUAAAGUCUUCUACUGUCAAAGCACUUCACUGUCUAGGCUACAACAGGAUUUUAGUUGGAGGUUGUGCAUGUUGUCCUUUUUAUCUGAUCUGUGAUUAAAACAGUUAUAUUAAGAUGGCCCAGGAAGAACAUCAUUGUCCUAAAGUUAAAAAUGAGAAUGGUUUGUAAAACCCUACAGUUGUAUCCUGAUACUGGAUGAAACU